rnacentral:rRNA from 1 species
CUAUCUACAGGCUUAACACAUGCAAGUCGAGGGGCAGCAUGGUCUUAGCUUGCUAAGGCCGAUGGCGACCGGCGCACGGGUGAGUAACACGUAUCCAACCUGCCGUCUACUCUUGGACAGCCUUCUGAAAGGAAGAUUAAUACAAGAUGGCAUCAUGAGUCCGCAUGUUCACAUGAUUAAAGGUAUUCCGGUAGACGAUGGGGAUGCGUUCCAUUAGAUAGUAGGCGGGGUAACGGCCCACCUAGUCUUCGAUGGAUAGGGGUUCUGAGAGGAAGGUCCCCCACAUUGGAACUGAGACACGGUCCAAACUCCUACGGGAGGCAGCAGUGAGGAAUAUUGGUCAAUGGGCGAGAGCCUGAACCAGCCAAGUAGCGUGAAGGAUGACUGCCCUAUGGGUUGUAAACUUCUUUUAUAAAGGAAUAAAGUCGGGUAUGGAUACCCGUUUGCAUGUACUUUAUGAAUAAGGAUCGGCUAACUCCGUGCCAGCAGCCGCGGUAAUACGGAGGAUCCGAGCGUUAUCCGGAUUUAUUGGGUUUAAAGGGAGCGUAGAUGGAUGUUUAAGUCAGUUGUGAAAGUUUGCGGCUCAACCGUAAAAUUGCAGUUGAUACUGGAUAUCUUGAGUGCAGUUGAGGCAGGCGGAAUUCGUGGUGUAGCGGUGAAAUGCUUAGAUAUCACGAAGAACUCCGAUUGCGAAGGCAGCCUGCUAAGCUGCAACUGACAUUGAGGCUCGAAAGUGUGGGUAUCAAACAGGAUUAGAUACCCUGGUAGUCCACACGGUAAACGAUGAAUACUCGCUGUUUGCGAUAUACUGCAGGCGGCCAAGCGAAAGCGUUAAGUAUUCCACCUGGGGAGUACGCCGGCAACGGUGAAACUCAAAGGAAUUGACGGGGGCCCGCACAAGCGGAGGAACAUGUGGUUUAAUUCGAUGAUACGCGAGGAACCUUACCCGGGCUUAAAUUGCAGAUGAAUUACGGUGAAAGCCGUAAGCCGCAAGGCAUCUGUGAAGGUGCUGCAUGGUUGUCGUCAGCUCGUGCCGUGAGGUGUCGGCUUAAGUGCCAUAACGAGCGCAACCCUUGUUGUCAGUUACUAACAGGUUCCGCUGAGGACUCUGACAAGACUGCCAUCGUAAGAUGUGAGGAAGGUGGGGAUGACGUCAAAUCAGCACGGCCCUUACGUCCGGGGCUACACACGUGUUACAAUGGGGGGUACAGAGGGCCGCUACCACGCGAGUGGAUGCCAAUCCCCAAAACCUCUCUCAGUUCGGACUGGAGUCUGCAACCCGACUCCACGAAGCUGGAUUCGCUAGUAAUCGCGCAUCAGCCACGGCGCGGUGAAUACGUUCCCGGGCCUUGUACACACCGCCCGUCAAGCCAUGGGAGCCGGGGGUACCUGAAGUGCGUAACCGCGAGGAGCGCCCUAGGGUAAAACUGGUGACUGGGGCU